AGAGUUUGAUCCUGGCUCAGGACAAACGCUGGCGGCGUGCCUAACACAUGCAAGUCAAGGAGAACGUCCCCUUCGGGGGACUAUUAAACUGGCGGACGGGUGAGUAACGCGUAGGUAACCUGCCCCAGAGACCGGGACAACCCAUCGAAAGACGGGCUAAUACCGGAUGAUGCAGCGGAUCCUCAGGGAUAUGUUGUUAAAGGGGGCCUUCGGGUCCUGCUUUGGGAUGGGCCUGCGUCCGAUUAGUUAGUUGGUAAGAUAAAAGCUUACCAAGGCGAUGAUCGGUAGCUGGUCUGAGAGGAUGAUCAGCCACACUGGGAUUGAGAUACGGCCCAGACUCCUACGGGAGGCAGCAGUGGGGAAUCUUGCGCAAUGGGCGAAAGCCUGACGCAGCAACGCCGCGUGACUGAUGAAGCUUCUAGGAGUGUAAAGGUCUGUCGUGAGGGAAGAACAGUAUCCAUGUAAAUAGCAUGGGCAUUUGACGGUACCUCACAAGAAAGCACCGGCUAACUUCGUGCCAGCAGCCGCGGUAAUACGAGGGGUGCUAGCGUUGUCCGGAAUCACUGGGCGUAAAGGGCGCGUAGGCGUCUUAGCAAGCCUUGAUUGAAAUCCCCCGGCUCAACCGGGGAACUGGUCAGGGAACUGCUAGGAUAGAGUUUGGUAGGGGAGAGCGGAAUUCCUGGUGUAGCGGUGAAAUGCGUAGAUAUCGGGAAGAACACCAGUGGCGAAGGCGCUCUGCUGGGCCAUAACUGACGCUCAUGGACGAAAGCCAGGGGAGCGAAAGGGAUUAGAUACCCCUGUAGUCCUGGCCGUAAACGAUGA
rnacentral:rRNA from 1 species